rnacentral:rRNA from 1 species
UACUUUAAGGCUAAGCAAAGUAGGUUAUUAUUAGUUAAGUGAAUUUAUAAAUUAAUUUUUAUUAUGGGUAAUAAAAGGUGAAAUUUAUAUAUUAUCUUGUAAUUUUAUUAAUAAUUUGUAAUUGAAGCUAGUAAAAUUUGAUCAUAAACUAGGAUUAGAUACCCUAUUAUUUCAAGUGAUGUUUAAAAAAUAAUAAAUUAGUAGUAGAUAAACACUUAAAAAUUAAAAAAUUUGGCGGUAAUUUAAUCUUUUCAGAGGAAUUUGUUUCUUAAUCGAUAAUCCACGUAAUAUCUUACUUAUUUUUGUACGACUCAGUUUGUAUACCAUCAUUAUCAGGUAAUUCUUAAAAGAAAAAUUACUAAACCUAAUUGUUUAUGAAAAUUAGAUCAUGGUGCAGCUUAUAAAUAAGUAGAAAUGAAUUACAAUAAAUUGUUUUAGACGAAUUAGUGAAUUAAUAUUGACUAUAAAGGAGGAUUUGAUUGUAAACAAGGUUUAAUAAGCCUUUUUGACAUGAGCACUAAAUUAUGUACAUAUCGCCCGUCGCUUUCAUUAUAAAUGGAAUAAGUCGUAACAUA